AGGGAAACAGUGCGCAAACAUGGUUCGUUCGCGUGCUGCUUUUAAUUGUAACAGUAAGAACGGAAGCAAAGACGAAGACGGAAACAACAUUACAUUUCACAGGUUUCCCCUUACAAAUGAUUUUAUAAAUCGGAAAUGAAUAGCUGCUACUCGGAGAGAGAACUUCCAACCGACAGCAAAUCAUUUGCUGUGCUCCCUUCAUUUUGAAGAGAAUUGUUACAUGGAAAAUUAUGUAAAUAGACGUCAACUGAAGGUCGAUGCUAUACCGACAGUAUUUGGAUUUGCAACUCAUUUGAAAAAGGUUACCAAGGCAAGGAAACAGCCAAAGGCAAUGAAUGUUGAGACAGCAGAAAACGUGUGUGUGGAUGUGCACGUUUCUGGUUACACUGGAGACCAUAAUUAUUCAUUUCCAUCAAGUCCAAGUAAGCUGAAGGAAAAGUUCGAAAAAAUUGAAGAAAGGAAAAAUUGGGCAAUAUAAGACUAAGUUAAAUACAGUGAACAAAAAGUGCAAAAGACAAACGCAGAAGAUUUGCAAAUUAGCAAAUAUUUUAGAAGAACUAAAAGCUAAAAACUUAGUAAACGAUAAAGUAAUCUCGCGUAUUAACGCUACUCACAGUGACAUGUUAUUGGAGAUGGUCAUUACAAUAUUGUAAAUGUCAGUGUGUUAGCUGUUACUUGUGAUGGACUUUCCACUAAUAUUGCAAUGGCAAAGGAGUUAGGGGCAAAUAUAAUCGUACUGCCUGCUACUUUAAAAGUUUCAUGUAAUUAUCUAAUGCAAA